rnacentral:antisense_RNA from 1 species
CUGUGCUCCCAAUCCGCUUACGCUCAAGGAAGAACUGCCUGGAAGCCCUCCCUGGUACCAUACCCCAGCCGAUGAGUAUGUACCCCCAGAAGUACUUCCGCUCAGAGAAGAAGGAGACGGCAAGCAGGGUGUACAGGAAGGCCCAGAACCAGCCUGCUGUCAGGAUCAGAACAAAAGAGGAGGACUGCAUAUGUAUGGACCCACUCCAGAUGGCAUGGGGACGGGGGGAGUAGGAAAAGUGGCAUGAUGAGGAAAUGGAGGCACAGACUGAUUAGAAAACCAGCUCAAGGUCAUGUUGCUGCUCUCUCAUUCCUGUUGAGGGCUCUCUGGUGGAGCCUCUGUCUCACAGGUCACCUGCAGGCCAACACUCCCAGAAGCAGCUAGCACCAUGGUUGACCUCGUCCAGGUCCAGGGAAGGCCUCCCUCUCCAGGACUCCUUUAGAUUUCCCCAGCAUCCAGACCUCACCUGCCUAAGUGCUGUUGCCCUGGAAGCCACACAGUGAGCACGAGCUCCAUCUUGCCCCUUUACCAGCCAAUGGGGGUAAAGACAUUAGCUGGUAAGUCAUUUAAAACUUAUUGAAAGUAACACAGUUGUGUGAUGGAGUAUGAUACAGUUACUCGUAUAACUGUUAAAAGAUAGGAGACUUCAAGGAAA